rnacentral:tRNA from 1 species
GGUAGGAUGGCUGAUUGUAAAGCGGUAGGUUGUAGCCCUAAAAAUAGGGGUUUAAUUCCCCUUUCUGCCA